GCAUCGUGGCUGUGUUCCAUGGUAACCGUUUCCAGGAAGAGCAGCACCGGAGGAGUGCAGGUUCUGAAGACUUUCAAUCAGCCCCAAAGCUUAGCCAGACAAAACGUCGUGUUGCUGGCUUCACAGCCUCCGCGGACACCAAAGGGAGAGGGUAUGACGUGGGCAAACAUUCUCCUAGGUUAUUGCAGGAACUGUGAUCACAAGGACCAUGAGCGCAGCUGCCUCCCGGGGCUCGAUCACAGGAGAGGAGCCCAGGGCCAGAGGUCCCUGAACUGCAGACCAGAGCAUGUGGCUGCAGGAGAGGAAUGAGGCAGAGAAAGCACAGCUACACACAGUGGAUUCCUGGCCUCUUUCCCAUCUCCCUGAGAAAGACUCAUCACGUCUCCACUGUGGCUCUGUGGGUAAUACCGGUAGAGAGGAAAGAGGAGGCUCUGGAGCCAGAUGGCCUGGAUCCGAAUCCCAGGCUGCUGCAACAGCUGGGCUCAGCAUUGAAAUGGGGACCAUCUGGGAGCCACACGACGGAGACUGAGUUGGCACCUUGAGAGGGAGGCAGAGCUGCGAUGCACAGAGCGGUGCUGAGGCAGACUCACAGCUAUGCAGCAAUCGCGUCCCCAGCCCAGCACCAGCACUACUGACUGGGAAAGGACUUCUCGCCCCGAUGCCUGCCCUGCUGCAAAAACCCCCUAGCUUCCUUUCAGCACAAAGCACAGCUGCUCUUUGUCUUUCAUUUUCACCCUGAAUCAGCUGUCCCCAGCCUACGUGGCCAGUGCCUGCCCUUCUGCACUUCCCACCCUGUGCUGUUUCUCGCCACCUGUUGUCAGCCUGCGCCUGCCAUGUGACUUUUAAGAAAAAAGACAACCUUCAUCCUUCCACUUAGACAUUCUUUUUUUCUUAGCCAGAAUCUUUCUUUCUCUCCCUAGAAAAUGUCUUUGAGACUAUACUUAAUGAUUUUUUU
rnacentral:lncRNA from 10 species